ACCCCAACCAGGGCCAGAGACAAACUGAAACUGAGCCUUCCUGACGCUGCCCUCAGCCUCAGCACCCCAAACACCUUCAAGGCCUGUCUCACAUGCUCUGUUCUUCACGCAGCUGCUACCUUCGCCACUGUUCUGCUCCACACCCCUCACGCCCGAUUCUUUCUCCCGUGGACAUGCUUACCUUUUCAGACUCAUGGAGGCUUUUUGCCAGUUGGGCUGUAGGAUGGAGAAACAUUAAGCCUUCCCCAUCCCUGGAGAACCGUGGCUCAAUAUGCUCUGCCCAGGAAUGCUGGACAACCCAGGGCAGGGUUUCUGUGACUGCGUGGAAGGAACUUCCAGGGCACACCUCCGGAAGGGUGUUGCUGACACCUCUGGCUUCUUGAUCAGUUAGGGCAGACUGACAUUCUGGGUCAUCACUGUGCACAUAUGUGAAGCUGUGAUGGUCCCCAUGUAAAGGUGUAUAUCAGCAUACCUGGAGAUAUUAUACUUUUGUUCCAACACAACAAAAUAAAGCAA